rnacentral:rRNA from 1 species
UGGGGAAUAUUGGACAAUGGGCGCAAGCCUGAUCCAGCCACGCCGCGUGAGUGAUGAAGGCCUUCGGGUCGUAAAGCUCUGUGGGGAGAGACGAACCGCUGCGGGUUAACAUCCGGCAGCAUGACGGUAUCUCCUUAGCAAGCACCGGCUAACUUCGUGCCAGCAGCCGCGGUAAUACGAAGGGUGCAAACGUUGCUCGGAAUUAUUGGGCGUAAAGCGCACGUAGGCGGGUUCGAAAGUCGGAUGUGAAAGCCCUCGGCUCAACCAAGGAAGUGCAUCCGAAACUGUGAAUCUUGAGUACCAAAGAGGAUCGCGGAAUUCCCGGUGUAGAGGUGAAAUUCGUAGAUAUCGGGAGGAACACCAGUGGCGAAGGCGGCGAUCUGGGUGGAUACUGACGCUGAGGUGCGAAAGCGUGGGGAGCAAACAGG